ACUUGGUGAUGUGGGCAUUUGCACAAGAGGUCCCUAAAGCUCUCCCAUGUCUUAAAAAAUUGUUCCCUAUGUAGUUGUGAGAAACUAGUGAUUGACUUCCUUAGCU